rnacentral:rRNA from 1 species
GUAGUCAUAUGCUUGUCUCAAAGAUUAAGCCAUGCAUGUCUAAGUAUAAGCAAUUAUACCGCGGAAACUGCGCAAUGGCUCAUUAAAUCAGUUAUCGUUUAUUUGAUAGUACCUUACUACAUGGAUAACCGUGGUAAUUCUAGAGCUAAUACAUGCUAAAAAUCCCGACUUCGGAAGGGAUGUAUUUAUUAGAUUAAAAACCAAUGCCCUUCGGGGCUCUCUGGUGAUUCAUAAUAACUUCUCGAAUCGCACGGCCUUGCGCCGGCGAUGGUUCAUUCAAAUUUCUGCCCUAUCAACUUUCGACGGCUGGGUCUUGGCCAGCCGUGGUGACAACGGGUAACGGAGGGUUAGGGCUCGACCCCGGAGAAGGAGCNUGAGAAACGGCUACUACAUCCAAGGAAGGCAGCAGGCGCGCAAAUUACCCAAUCCCGACACGGGGAGGUAGUGACAAUAAAUACUGAUACAGGGCUCUUUCGGGUCUUGUAAUUGGAAUGAGUACAAUUUAAAUCCCUUAACGAGGAACAAUUGGAGGGCAAGUCUGGUGCCAGCAGCC